CAGCCGCCGCGGUAACACGUCGCUCCGCGAGUGGUACCCGCGAAUAUUGGGCCUAAAGCGUCCGUAGCCGGUCCGGUAAGUCCUCGGUUAAAUCGGCGGGCUUAACCCGUCGGCUGCCGGGGAUACUGCCGGGCUCGGGACCGGGAGAGGCCGAGGGUAUUCCCGGGGUAGGGGUAAAAUCCUGUAAUCCCGGGAGGACCACCUGUGGCGAAGGCGCUCGGCCAGAACGGGGCCGACGGUGAGGGACGAAAGCUGGGGGAUCAAACCGGAUUAGAGGCCCGGGUAGUCCCAGCGGUCAACCAUGCGGACUAGGUGUCGCGCGAGCUACGAGCUCGCGGGGUGCCGGAGGGAAGCCGUUAAGUCCGCCGCCUGGGGAGUACGGCCGCAAGGCUGAAACUUAAAGGAAUUGGCGGG
rnacentral:rRNA from 1 species